rnacentral:rRNA from 1 species
UACAGGGGGGGCAAGCGUUGUUCGGAAUUACUGGGCGUAAAGGGCUCGUAGGCGGCCAACUAAGUCCGACGUGAAAUCCCCAAGCUUAACUUGGGAACUGCGUCGGAUACUGGAUGGCUUGAAUUCGGGAGAGGGAUGCAGAAUUCCAGGUGUAGCGGUGAAAUGCGUAGAUAUCUGGAGGAAUACCGGUGGCGAAGGCGGCAUCCUGGACCGACAUUGACGCUGAGGAGCGAAAGCUAGGGGAGCAAAC